CCAUGAAUGCUGUCCAGGGUAUGCCAAAAAGGUUUCUAUAUCCAACAGCCUUGCCUCCAGUGAAAGUGUAGUUUCCUUUGUACUUGCUCACAUACUCUUCAGUUGGCUUUGAUCUUGCAGCAAAUUCAUAGUCAACAGCAAAGCUUACUGAUCCCUUCUCUUGCAUCCCCAAAAAUAGUCCAAAGCAAUGAAAUGAGCUCUGUUGGUCCAUGUUACAGUGAGCAGACAAGAAAAACCCCUGCCCGCCCAAGUGAAACGCUUGAGAAUAUACCCGGCCAGCUGGAAAUAGAUGUGCACACUCCUCACGCUUCAGAUCUAGGUACACAACACACUGCUGACGCGGGAUUUCAAAUUCCACCACUUUGACUGGUCGGUACUUGUAUGCCCGCUCCACAAAUCGACGAUAGGUGGAAUUAGCCUCCUCUGCAGCUAGAACUCGCUGCCGAUAUGGA
rnacentral:misc_RNA from 1 species